rnacentral:lncRNA from 1 species
UUUUUAUUUUUCUGCAUCUUGUGUGAGAAAAAAAAUCAUGGUAUCUAUGAAUAUCCAUUGUUCCAAGUGGGUUCCAACUGAAACCAUUACCAAUCUAAACAGUAGCAAACAGGGCAAACUAGGACUCAUAUUCCAAGAGUAGUCUCACUAUAUGCUGAAUAUUACUGUCCACUGAAAGAUGACCCACCAGAUGUCUGUCCUUUGAGCCCUCGGAAGGUGGCCAGUACAAUCACCAAGCAUUGAAUCAUUCCUUCCCCAUCUUUCCACACAAAAAUUGUGCAUCUCCUCAGAGACAUCACCAUGCAUGGGCUCCACAUGGAACUCUGGAUGCUGUAGAAUCUUAUGAAAAGCCACCACUGCUGCAGUGGAUGGUGUGGUGGCCACAGGGCAAGAACAGUCCAUGGUCAAACUCACAUGAGAUCUGCUUUUUGUUGUUUUAGCUGCCCAAAGAAUAUUUGAUCAUUAUCAGGUAUCUAAAUGUAGUGGUAGCAUCUUAUCAUGCGUUUUGACACGAGAAAUCUUUUUCCAAAAUAAAAAUGAAUUAAAUUGCAAGUGGGAAAUAGAAAAAAUGUCCAUGAAGGAGGGAAGCUGUGGACUCGUAUAAAUAGCCAUAGAUAAAAAAAUUUGAUUAACAUGUGAGGAAAAUAAAGGUAGACAUUAUUGCCAAAGUGGCCCAUGCAAACAGGUUUUACAUGGUUGAUGGGGCAGUGGAUCGACUUGCUUACCCAAGUUACUAAAUUGUUACCUUUGUGCAGUAUGUAAUGUAUGUGACUUUUGAGAUGGGAAGUCACAUAUGUGUACUAGAGUACUUUAAGCAAAAGUACAUUUUGAGAUGGGAAAGGAUGUGGGGUGGUUCAUGUUGUUCCAGCAUCACAUUAAGCUGUACAGCUCUUGUAUGAUUAAGAUUCCUUAAAGAUCCUAAAAGUGAUAUGGCCUUUGUUCAUAAAUUAAAUUCAUCAAUCAAUAGAAAAGUCAGACUCAUGUAUGGAUGUUCUAGAGAAGCUGCUCAGAAGAAGCUUCCUAGUGAAGGUCCAAAAGUUUUAUGCAUAAAACUCUAAGAUAAUUAACCUUCUUCAGUAAUAUUAAUGAAAGAUGGAAUAAUGAAGAAAGGUUAGGGUGUGCUAUAAUAUGCGACAAGCAGAAAAUAAACCACUUUCCAUUCGGAAAAUUUUAACAUAAGAGACACACAGGUGAAACAAAGAACAUAUAGCAUCCUAUCUCUUAAGAUGACACAUCAAACUUGUUAACAGGAUCUACGUAAGCUGCAACUACUUUGAUAGCUUAACACAAUGAGAGUGACUUACCAACAACCCAAGAUGCAUUAUCUCAUUGCGGACUUAAGCUUGAAGUCUGCCAUGUACUGCUUUUCUUUUCAGCUUCAUAUAUGGGAAUAGAGUCAGCCUUCAACCAUCUUACAAGGAAAAGAGACAACCAAGUUACUUUCUUAUGUGUAAAGCAUGUUCCAAUUGACUGCUACUUGACGGCCCUCCAAAAAUAAAGACAGUGAUUUCAGUCAACAAAAAAUGAUGGGGAUGAUUUUGACAUGUUAUCUUACAAAUAUGCAGUGUAUUUGCCUCUGUAACAAAUAUGUCCCUCAAAUAUGACGAUCCUUUAUGUAUAUACCUCUGGUUAAUGCUCAUGUAGAUAACUCAUGUUAACUGGUAUUAAUUGUGACCACCAAUACAUAGUUUAAGUUAAAAGAAUAUUAACAUUUAAAAUGUCCUUAACCUUCAAUCACUAGGGACGAAAGAUAGAUACCUAAAAAAAGAGGAAAAACAUUUAUCAGAUGUUUUGGCACCAAUUAGAGUUUCAACGUCGUUAGAUAGUCAACUGUGAUCAAGUGAUCGUGAUAAACUAUAAAGCAUAUAUGUAAGUUUUCAGGUUUUAUAUAUAUAUAUAUAUAUAUAUAUAUAUAUAUAUAUAUAUAUAUAUAUAUAUAUAUAUAUAUAUAUAUAUAUGGGACGAAAGAUAGAUACCUAAAAAAAGAGGAAAAACAUUUAUCAGAUGUUUUGGCACCAAUUAGAGUUUCAACGUCAUUAGAUAGUCAACUGUGAUAAAGUGAUCGUGAUAAACUAUAAAGCAUAUAUGUAAGUUUUCAGGUUAUAUAUAUAUAUAUAUAUAUAUAUAUAUAUAUAUAUAUAUAUAUAUAUAUAUAUAUAUAUAUAUAUAUAUANNNNNNNNNNNNNNNNNNNNAUAUAUAUUAUACACUUAAAAUUAGAGGAAUAUAUACUAAAAUGCCUACCACCUCAUCACAUCUACUCUUUUAUGACCUUAGGAUUAUUAUCCUUUCAUUGUACAAUUCUAGUCUAGGUUAGGAGAUACUUUUUAGCUCCUUGCACAUGAGUUUGAAUCUCUAAAGCAUUCCUAGUGUCAUUCUUUGUAGUUGUCAAAUUCACUCUAUGACAAUGAUAGAUGAAGAACUAUUUAGAAAUCUUAACCAGUAUUUGCUUUCAACACACAUGCAUGCUUUGUCAUGAUUGUAACUUUCUAAAAUAAAGUGCAAAGUCUUAAUAUGGUCCAAGGCAUGGAAGGAUUGUACUUUGCGCUCACAAACUUCUAAAAGAAAAAUGAAAGCUACAACUAGUUAUAGUACCACCCUAUACAUCUAGAGGUUAAUUUAACAUAUUAAAGGUCAUAUAAAGGUAUUCCACCAAACUAAUGAUUCUUUUCAUGCAAUUAAAAAGCUUUUCUCUAAUUUCUAUCAGAUGAAUCAUGUGUGAGAAUGGAGCAACCAUACUUUUUUUUUACUCAAGAAAAUACAGGUAGAAUACUAUGUGUUGUUCUUAUCACAGCAUAUUGGGUUUUGAAAUUAUGAGAGAUCCGUCAAAGAACAAAAAUGCAACGCAUGCGGAAACAUUCACCUUCCCAAACAUCUUCUGCUGCGACCUGUGUCCUCUUCUGUAGGCCGACGACGAAGGGUCGGUCUCGCGAAACUAUCAGAUCACAAGCACACAGUGCCAACAGCAACUCAUCAAGCUUGCUGCUUCCAGUAUCCUGAUCUUUGGCACAUAUUAUCGAACAUCUAGCAGACGUUGCUAGCUCACAUCUGAAACUUCUUCAGAUCAUGUUUCCUGACUUGCUCUACUAGCCUGCGAUGAGAGACAGACAAAACCUGUGCUCGCUUCCGCUUCUCAGGCAUGGCUGCCCUCCCACUGAGGAGAACACCACGUACGAAGGUUUCCCCUGUCGAACGCAGCACAGAGCAGAGUAACGACAAAGCGAAAGGCACGGCCUUCGCUUCACGUCACUGGAGUUCCCCGUCGCUAGUGUAACGUGCACAAGCUGAACCGG